rnacentral:misc_RNA from 1 species
AAAAUUCCUAAACAAUAAAAACUCCUUAAAUUUCUUAAUUCUAUAUUAAUUAAAAUUUUUAAAUAAAAUUUUAAACUUCUUAUUCUUAUUAUGAUUAAAAAAAUUAUGAAGAUUCUAAUUAAUGGGUCCUUUGGUAUUAUAAAAAAUGUAAAUAAAUGCUUAUACAAAUAGAUGAGUGAAAAACGAGAACUUACAAUUGAAAAUAAUUACUUGAGUUGGGAACAACUAACUCUAUUUUUAUUGUAGUAGUAGAUUUAUCACUGAAAAUAUAUACUAUAUUAUAAAUUGAUUUAUGUUUUCUUUUAAUAUUUUACUUAUUUGAAGUAAAAUACAUGGAUAUACAGCUAACAUGUAAUAAAUUAAUUUAAUAAAAUUUCUCUUAUGUACUUAUUAAAAAAAAUAAUAAAAACUCUUGAUAGGACUUAUGCCUAAAUUGGUGCACUCUAACUAUAAUAUAGAAAAAAGUACAUCUAAUAUAAGUUCGAACUUAUACGAGAAUGAGUUCAAUAACCAUUUGAUUAAAUAUUUGUAUUUAGAUUUGUGCAUUAUAUACACAAAUUUAGAUAUAAGUAUUUAAUCUAACAGUUGAUAAACUUAUUUUCAUAUGAGUUCCAACUCUUUGUAGUUGCAUUGUAUAUAAAAAUAAAAAAUAAAAAACAUUAUGGGAGGGGCUUCUCACAUAUAUUGGUUGAACGGGUUGAAAGCUUUUAUUUGUGCUUUUAAUGCUGAUUAUAAUUGCUUCAAUGGUCUUGAUUAGAUAUACGACUCACAGAUUUAGCUUGGUGCAGAUAUUUUUUCCCAACUUGAAUAACGUUCAAGAAAAACUUGUUUUAAGAAUAAAUGGAGUCAAAUUAGUCAAUGGUUAUAUCAUGAUCGAUUAAUCAAGGAACACAUUCAGAGUAAUAUGACUAAUAUAAGAUUAUUUUUCAUGAUUUAUGGAGAAACUCACAUAAAUAUGAGUAUAAGAAAUAUUUUGCUUUUAUAUAUACCUAACAAUCUCUUGUUUGUAUAUCAUAAACUUAGAAUUUUAUGUAAAAAUGGAUGUGCAUGGUUCAUAUGUAUGCUUUUUUAUGUUAAAUUAUACUCUCCACCUUCGCAUUUGUUAUUGUUUUGCCUGGGACAUGCUUCAGUAUUAACAAGACCAUAGAGCGGUAUCAGAAGAAAGCCAAGGAUCUUGGAAUCAGUAUCAAGGCAGUUCAAGAAAACAUGCAGAAUGGGAAGGAAGAUUCGUUUAGCUUGGCAAAGAAGAUCGAGCUUCUUG